CUGAAGUCCAGAAGUCUUAAAGUUGUCAAGGUUGCAGAUCCCUGGUCUAUGCGUGUAAUGCUGCAUCAAGCUUACCUGAUCUUUGACAGCCUCAAAGUGCAACUGCAGGAAAACAGCAGUGCUUUCACUCUAUGAUGACUUCCUGUUGAAAUCAGGCUGCUGUCUAAAAUAAACUGCAAAAUGGAAGAGAUGGGUGCAGCAUGGGAUACGGCAUGUAAGAGACCCAUGCAAGGAAGGUGCAAUUCGUUCAGCACUUUUGUCAAGCACUGGGGAGAUGCAAUCUCCCUCAGCAUGCCAAGUAAAGUGUCAGAUGAUACGUUCUGACUUUUGAAGCUUCAAAGGGGGUGGCUGAGCCACCUUAAUCAGCCACUUCAUUUCAAGGCAAGCCCUUUCAGUUUUUGUAAGAGCCUCUUUGGAAAGGCUUGCAAUAUUAUUCUAAGAUUAUUGAAAGAUUAACAUCACACUCUCCAAUGAAUGUAUUCAUGUGCACUUUUCACUAGAUCAUACACUUAAUCACACCAGAUAAUAAGGGCAUUUUGCUCUAUGCCUGCAGCGCAGAAUUCAAUACAACUGGCUUGGUGAAGUGGGCUUCUGACAUAUUGUCAGAAACUCUGUCAUUCACUUCAAAAAUAUUGUAAAACUUUGGGAUAUAGGACAUUUUGCAGAAACAUUUUGGAUGUUUCUCAUCAAUAAAGUGAAAAAUAAAUCAUUAAGGCAGGGGUGUCAAACUUGCAACAUCAUAUGACACGUCGCAACAUAUUGUGACUUUUUUUCCAUUGCUGGCAAUGGGCUGGGUAUGGCUUCUGCAUGAUUCAUCCAGCCCGCGGGCCAGCAGUUUGACACCCCUGCAUUACGAUUUGCCUUCUAGAGACCUUAGACAUACUGCUAUUGAGCAGUGUAGCCAAAAGCUAUCUGCAGUAACUUUCCUGGAUCUUAAAGACCAUACCAUGUGAGCAAAAAUUCUCUUU